rnacentral:rRNA from 1 species
GAAAAGAAACUAACAAGGAUUCCCCCAGUAAUGGCGAAUGAAGCGGGAACAGCUCAAAUUUGAAAUCUGCGUCGCCUGCGACGCCGAAUUGUAGUUUCUAGAAGCACCUUCUAGGCGAAGCCGGCGCCGUCCAAGUUGCCUGGAACGGCACGUCGCAGAGGGUGACAACCCCGUCCGCGGCGGCGUCGGUCGCUCACGAUGUGCUUUCCAAGAGUCGGGUUGUUUGGGAAUGCAGCCCAAAAUGGGUGGUAGACUCCAUCUAAAGCUAAAUAUCGGCACGAGACCGAUAGCGAACAAGUACCGUGAGGGAAAGAUGAAAAGCACUUUGAAAAGAGAGUCAAACAGUACGUGAAACCGUUAAAAGGGAAACGGACGGGGCCAGCAUUGCGCCCCUUCGAGAUUCAGCCGGGCCUGGCUUCGGGCGGGCGGCCAUCAAGCGGAUCCGUACGGACCGCGGCCGUCUCGGUUCGGGGACUCGACCGUCGCACUUCUCGGGGGCGCGUGCCAACGUCGGUUGUCUCUGGGUCUCAAGGGCUUCGGCAAGGUGGGUUCUUUGCUCUCGGGCUGGAACUGUUUAUAGGCCGAACGUCGCAUGGCCCGGGGGCGACCGAGGUGUCGCGGCGCGUGCCAUCAUCUGGCUCGGGGCCCGCUCGGCUUGGUCGGUAGUCGACUCUGGCGGACUGCGUGCAGUGCGCCUCGACCGCUGCCGGCCGCCCGGGUGGUGUUCCUCAGAACUUGACGCGCCAAGGACGUUGGCGACCAAAUGGCCUCGUUCGACCCGUCUUGAAACACGGACCANGGAGUCUAACAUGUGCGCGAGUCUUCGANGUGACCGAANNCUCGCCGGCGCAAUGAAAGUGAAGGCGGACUCGUCUCCGCCGAGGUGAGAAGCCGUCCUGUCGGGGCGGCCGCAUCAUCGACCGACCUAUUCUGCUCUCAGGAAGGUUUGAGUAAGAGCGCACCUGUUGGGACCCGAAAGAUGGUGAACUAUGCCUGAACAGGGUGAAGCCAGAGGAAACUCUGGUGGAGGCUCGUAGCGAUUCUGACGUGCAAAUCGAUCGUCAAAUUUGGGUAUAGGGGCGAAAGACUAAUCGAACCAUCUAGUAGCUGGUUCCCUCCGAAGUUUCCCUCAGGAUAGCUGGAACUCACCUGCAGUUUUAUCAGGUAAAGCGAAUGAUUAGAGGCCUUGGGGUCAAAACGACCUUAACCUAUUCUCAAACUUUAAAUUGGUAAGAAGUCCGACUUGCUUGACUGAAGCCGGACGUUUCGAAUGCGAGUUCCUAGUGGGCCAUUUUUGGUAAGCAGAACUGGCGAUGCGGGAUGAACCGAACGCGCGGUUAAGGUGCCCAAGUCGACGCUCAUCAGACACCACAAAAGGUGUUGGUUGCUACAGACAGCAGGACGGUGGYCAUGGAAGUCGGAACCCGCUAAGGAGUGUGUAACAACUCACCUGCCGAAGCAACUAGCCCUGAAAAUGGAUGGCGCUCAAGCGUCGCACCUAUACCGUGCCGUCGGGACGAAUGCCAGGUCCCGACGAGUAGGAGGGCGUGGGGGUCGUCACGAAGCCUCUGGCGCGAGCCUGGGUGAAACGGCCUCCAGUGCAGAUCUUGGUGGUAGUAGCAAAUAUUCAAAUGAGAGCUUUGAAGAACGAAGUGGAGAAAGGUUCCAUGUGAACAGCAGUUGGACAUGGGUUAGUCGAUCCUAAGAGAUAGGGAAACUCCGUUUUCAAGCGCCCGAUAGUCGGGCCGCCUAUCGAAAGGGAAUCGGGUUAAAAUUCCCGAACCGGAACACGGACAGCGUCGCCCGACUCGUCGGGCGGCGGGUGCGGCAACGCAAACGAACCCGGAGACGCCGGCGAGAGCCCUGGGAAGAGUUCUCUUUUCUUCUUAACGGACCUUCACCCUGGAAACAGCUUGCCUGGAGAUAGGGUCUGACGUCCGGUAUAGCACCACGCUUCUUGCGGUGUCCGGUGCGCUCUCGACGGUCCUUGAAAAUCCGGGGGAGACGGUGACUUUCGUGUCCGGUCGUACUCAUAACCGCAGCAGGUCUCCAAGGUGAGCAGCCUCUGGUUGAUAGAACAAUGUAGGUAAGGGAAGUCGGCAAAAUAGAUCCGUAACCUCGGGAUAGAAA